rnacentral:rRNA from 1 species
UAGGGAAUCUUCGGCAAUGGACGAAAGUCUGACCGAGCAACGCCGCGUGAGUGAAGAAGGUUUUCGGAUCGUAAAACUCUGUUGGUAGAGAAGAACAAGGAUGAGAGUAACUGUUCAUCCCUUGACGGUAUCUAACCAGAAAGCCACGGCUAACUACGUGCUAG